rnacentral:rRNA from 1 species
ACCUGGCUUACACCGGUUUAAACUCAGAUCAUGUAAAAUUUUAAAGGUCGAACAGACCUAAUAUGAAAGCAUCUUCACCAACAAUUAAUUUUAAUCCAACAUCGAGGUCGCAAUCUUUUUCUUCGAUAAGAACUCUAAAAAAAAUUACGCUGUUAUCCCUAAGGUAAUUUUAUCUUAUAAUCUAAACUUUAGGAUCAUAAAUUCAUAAAUAAAUGGAUUAGUAAAAAAAAAGUUUACUCAAUUUUUUUGUCACCCCAACAAAAUAUUUUCUAAACUUAAAUAAUUUUUUUAACUAAAAUUUCAUUAAAUCAAAAAAAAUAUUAAACUCUAUAGGGUCUUCUCGUCUUCUAUACAAAUUUAAGCUUUUUAACUUAAAAAUAAAAUUCAAAUUAAUUUUUAUAGAGACAGUAAUUUUUUUAUUCAACCUUUCAUUCCAGCUUUCAAUUAAAAAACUAAUGAUUAUGCUACCUUUGCACGGUUAAAAUACCGCGGCCAUUUAACUUAUCAUUGGGCAGGUUAGACCUAAAAUUAUAAUCA